UAGGGAAUCUUCGGCAAUGGACGAAAGUCUGACCGAGCAACGCCGCGUGAGUGAAGAAGGUUUUCGGAUCGUAAAACUCUGUUGUUAGAGAAGAACAAGGACGUUAGUAACUGAACGUCCCCUGACGGUAUCUAACCAGAAAGCCACGGCUAACUACGUGCCAGCAGCCGCGGUAAUACGUAGGUGGCAAGCGUUGUCCGGAUUUAUUGGGCGUAAAGCGAGCGCAGGCGGUUUCUUAAGUCUGAUGUGAAAGCCCCCGGCUCAACCGGGGAGGGUGAUUGGAAACUGGGAGACUUGAGUGCAGAAGAGGAGAGUGUAAUUCCAUGUGUAGCGGUGAAAUGCGUAGAUGUAUGGAGGAACACCAGUGGCGAAGGCGGCUCUCUGGUCUGUAACUGACGCUGAGGCUCGAAAGCGUGGGGAGCAAACAGG
rnacentral:rRNA from 1 species